AAGAAAGUGGCAGAAUGGUUAUGCGGUUGGCUUGAAACCAAUAUAUGGGGGUUCAAUUCCUUCCUUUCUCG
rnacentral:tRNA from 1 species